GACGAACGCUGGCGGCGUGCUUAACACAUGCAAGUCGAACGAUGAAGCCGGAGCUUGCUCUGGUGAAUUAGUGGCGAACGGGUGAGUAACACGUGAGUAACCUGCCCUUGACUCUGGGAUAACUGCGGGAAACUGUAGCUAAUACCGGAUACGACCCUCGGAGGCAUCUCCUGGGGGUGGAAAGAAUUUCGGUCAAGGAUGGACUCGCGGCCUAUCAGCUAGUUGGGGAGGUAAAGGCUUACCAAGGCGACGACGGGUAGCCGGCCUGAGAGGGUGGCCGGCCGCACUGGGACUGAGACACGGCCCAGACUCCUACGGGAGGCAGCAGUGGGGAAUAUUGCACAAUGGGCGCAAGCCUGAUGCAGCAACGCCGCGUGAGGGAUGACGGCCUUCGGGUUGUAAACCUCUUUUGGCAGGGAAGAAGCGAAAGUGACGGUACCUGCAGAAAAAGCACCGGCUAACUACGUGCCAGCAGCCGCGGUAA
rnacentral:rRNA from 1 species